UGCCAACAAAGCCACACAUGGGUGACAGAGACAGAAGAAGACAAAGGUGCAGUUAGAGUUGAUUAACACAAUUAUUUAAUGAUACUCUAGAGAAACUAAGAGAAAGGUUGAAACAUCAAAGCAAAAUUCUGACAAAUCAAAGCUCACUGUAUUUUCCAAAGAGCUUGUGUUAAGUGAAUAUGUGGCCAAAGCCAGGUGAAAUAUAGUAUCUUCCGUUUUUCAGCUAAUUUCACCAAGACAGAGAACACAGCAUACUCCAACACUACCUCAUUCAGGGACCAGUUCCUGGGAGCCCAUAUAUUUCUGCUCUACCUGCAGAAGGCGGUCCUGCUCCUUCUGCCACCGCUCCUGCCGCUUCCGCUCCUCCUCUUGAUCCCAUGCCCAGCGACUCGGGGCACUGAGGGUUGGAACUGGAAGCUAACCAGUCAGAAGAGAAGAUGUGCAAACAAGGAAGAACAUGUGACAUCAUUGAGUCGUCUACUGAAGCACUCUCGCUAACAUGAAUUAUUCAUACCACCCUUUGCCUAAGCAGUACCAGAGGAGGUUUGGCUUUUCAUCUCAAAAUAGGUCUUUCCAACUUGGAAAGACUGCUCCUUGAUAAAUUCUUAUGCAACUGAAAAUAAGCAAUGCUACUUGGUGCUAAUUCGGUCCCACCAAGGUCACCUUAUUUAUUCCAAAAACAAAUGAACACUACUUACAUCAGGAACCACAGAAUCGGAGCUUCCUGUAUUGCAGCAUGUGGGAAAGGAAAAAGACAAUAAGUUUUUUCAUUUCUGUGAAAUAAUUCUUUUCAGAAAGUCUUACCAGCUGUUUGUAUGCCAGUAUACUAAGGGACGUCAACGAUUUGUUUUAAACCA